UACGAAGGGUGCAAGCGUUACUCGGAAUUACUGGGCGUAAAGCGUGCGUAGGUGGUUUGUUAAGUCUGAUGUGAAAGCCCUGGGCUCAACCUGGGAAUUGCAUUGGAUACUGGCAGGCUAGAGUGCGGUAGAGGAUGGCGGAAUUCCCGGUGUAGCAGUGAAAUGCGUAGAGAUCGGGAGGAACAUCUGUGGCGAAGGCGGCCAUCUGGACCAGCACUGACACUGAGGCGCGAAAGCGUGGGGAGCAAACAGG
rnacentral:rRNA from 1 species